rnacentral:rRNA from 1 species
GUGGGGAAUAUUGGACAAUGGGCGCAAGCCUGAUCCAGCCAUGCCGCGUGAGUGAUGAAGGCCUUAGGGUUGUAAAGCUCUUUCAGUGGGGACGAUAAUGACGGUACCCACAGAAGAAGCCCCGGCUAACUUCGUGCCAGCAGCCGCGGUAAUACGAAGGGGGCUAGCGUUGUUCGGAGUUACUGGGCGUAAAGCGCACGUAGGCGGAUCGUUAAGUAGGGGGUGAAAUCCUGGCGCCGAACUCCAGAACUGCCUUCGAUACUGGCGAUCGUGGGUCCGGAAGAGGUGAGUGGAACACCUAGUGUAGAGGUGGAAUUCGUAGAUAUUAGGAAGAACACCAGUGGCGAAGGCGGCUCACUGGUCCGGUACUGACACUGAGGUGCGAAAGCGUGGGGAGCAAACAGGAUUAGAAACCCGAGUAGUCC